rnacentral:lncRNA from 1 species
AUUAAUUCGUCACUAUGUAUUUGUUGUAAGAGGAAAUAAGUGAGUACAACGACAUUGACUUUCAGAGUACAAUGUUAUGUAUUGUAUUCGUCAGUAUAUGGUCCUCCGACAUGCAUGUGCUGCCUUAAAUUGUUUAUUACACAGAACCCUUCAGAAUUAUCUUAUAAUUUGCUUAUGCAAAACAUGAUUUCAGUUUGGUGCAUUUUCUUGCUUUGUUAGGCUGCGUGGUGUAUCAGAUUUAGGUCGGUUCAGAGGAAAUCUGCGGGAGAUUUGCAUGAGAUAGCAAUACUGUGGCCCAUGAAACAGCAAAAAAUUAUCAACGUGGUGUAUCAGAUGUACAUUGACUUUCAGAGCACCAUCAACUAGCUUGAUCUGGUGUCCACUCGAAUAGAAAAGAAGAUGAAGUGCGUGACCAUUGUAGCUAUCAUUUAACCAAAUGACGAAUGUGUGCAUCUGAAGAAGGACUGAGGGUGAGAAGAACAGUUUGUGCGGCUUGGAGUGGGUGAGAAUUUUCUAGCCGGUAAUUAGGGAUUUCCAGCAAACGUGGCAGAGCAAAAUCCAUGUGAUCAACGUACCUCUGUUUCCUCAAUCCUACCAGGAAAGUUUCCAGACUAUACUGGUUCUAAGUUGAGAUUGUUUGUAGAGAAAUCCAGAUAGUUGGAUAUUUAGUACCAUACUCGGUUUUAUAUAUUUAACUGGAUUGUAAGUUCAGAAAGAUUCAAGACGGAUGGGCCGGCUCUGUAUCAAUAGAGUGUGUACGGUCUGUAUAAAACGCAUGUGGUUUAGUUUUUCUUAACCGGCUUCCUGCGUGUUCUCUUAUCAGUGCAUCAAGUCAAAAAUAUUGGUUCUAGCUGAAAUAUCUCCCCCCUGCAGUUUAAACCAAGUGCAGCAUUAUGGUUUUCUUAGUGGACCAACUGCGGCAAGAUCGAUCUGCCCAACAAGUCUGUUAAUCUUUCCAUGUUUCCAACGUGUGCCGGAGUCAAUAGGUGCGAUUUUUUUAAACCCUUAUGCUAAUUUAAGUAAUUAGUGGACUUGUAUUGAGAGUUUUAUGGUUUGAUUAGUGUCUCAAGGAAAAUUUAAUUGGUUAACUAAUUAGCUCCAAUGUUUCUAAUUCUAGAUGACUUCUAUGUAACUAAGACCGUUUGUGUUCAGGUUAAUAUUACGAUGGUAAUUCUCCUCGUCGUAUUUUUUUUUAUUUCAUGGAGUGAUGAUAAAGGAGUUUCUUUUUUCUAGGGCUUGUUUCCAGUAUGUAAAAUGUGUACCCCAACAAUAUGUGGUAACAUAUGCGCCAUAGAUUUGAUGUGGGAACUGUCUUUGCGCAAUAUAACAUCUUUCUUAACACCACAGACUUUUGGAUAAAUAAUCCAUAUAUAUUUACGGUCACAAGCUUGUGAGCAUAGCUAGCUGUUUAUUGUAGUAUUUGGUUAUGUGUAUAUCUUUCGUUUGCCAUACAAAUAAAUGAACGUUAGUUUUAAUUAAGAUAACAUCUCAAUUUGGUUUGUACAUCGCGAAGCAAGUCGGAAAAUAUCUACUAUGGGGAAUGUUUUUGGGGAGGAUUCUUGUGGUUUCGAAUGAGGAGGUAGCACCCUGUUUUGUAAUGCUCAAAUAUAUUCUACUUAACAACCUAGAUUCCCAUUUGUAGAAAUUUUACUUCCACGUGUACAAGGUUACUUUGGUUGUUGUUCAGGUCCAGGUUGUUUAUCAUGCCAUGAGAAGAGACAUGAGGAUAAAAUAGAUCUUAUGAAUUACGAUUACUUAUUCCUAUAUAGUUCCUUCCAUUUUGUAACACCGACUUCCUAUUGUACAUCACAUUGAUAUGCUUACAAUUUGCUUAAAUUGUAUGCUUUAGAAUGAAAAUUAUUGCUUUACAUCAUUGCCUACAGGUACAAAUCUCAAGAUUUGAAAAACAAAUGGGUACAUAUUUAAAAAAACGUGUGAGAAGUGGGGAGGACAACGAUUUGGUGGCGCAAGUGUUCGAGGUGGCUAGGAAACACAACAUUCAUCGCUAAGGAUGGGGGAAUAUAUGGGGCUCACAUCA